GCCUGGGUGGCUCAGUUGGUUGGGCGGCUGACUUCCGCUCAGGUCAUGAUCUAGCAGCUCAUGGGUUCGAGUCCCACAUCAGGCU
rnacentral:tRNA from 1 species